rnacentral:rRNA from 1 species
UACGUAGGGGGCUAGCGUUGUCCGGAAUCAUUGGGCGUAAAGCGCGCGUAGGCGGCCCGGUAAGUCCGCUGUGAAAGUCCAGGGCUCAACCCUGGAAAGCCGGUGGAUACUGCCGGGCUAGAGUCCGGGAGAGGCGAGUGGAAUUCCUGGUGUAGCGGUGGAAUGCGCAGAUAUCAGGAGGAACACCUAUUGCGAAGGCAGCUCGCUGGGACGUAACUGACGCUGAGACGCGAAAGCGUGGGGAGCAAACAGG